AGGACGAACGCUGGCGGCGUGCUUAACACAUGCAAGUCGAGCGGAAAGGCCCUUCGGGGUACUCGAGCGGCGAACGGGUGAGUAACACGUGAGUAAUCUGCCCCUAGCUCUGGGAUAGCUCCGGGAAAACCGGGAUUAAUACUGGAUACGACCACCUUAGACAUCUUUUGUGGUGGAAAGAAUUUCGGCUAGGGAUGAGCUCGCGGCCUAUCAGCUUGUUGGUGGGUAACGGCCUACCAAGGCGACGACGGGUAGCCGGCCUGAGAGGGCGACCGGCCACACUGGGACUGAGACACGGCCCAGACUCCUACGGGAGGCAGCAGUGGGGAAUAUUGCGCAAUGGGCGAAAGCCUGACGCAGCGACGCCGCGUGGGGGAUGAAGGCCUUCGGGUUGUAACCCCUUUCAGCAGGGACGAAGCGAAAGUGACGGUACCUGCAGAAGAAGCGCCGGCUAACUACGUGCCAGCAGCCGC
rnacentral:rRNA from 1 species